GAGUUUGAUCGUGGCUCAGAUUGAACGCUGGCGGCAUGCCUUACACAUGCAAGUCGAACGGUAACAGGUCUUCGGAUGCUGACGAGUGGCGAACGGGUGAGUAAUACAUCGGAACGUGCCCAGACGUGGGGGGAUAACGAGGCGAAAGCUUUGCUAAUACCGCAUACGAUCUAAGGAUGAAAGCAGGGGACCGCAAGGCCUUGCGCGUUUGGAGCGGCCGAUGGCAGAUUAGGUAGUUGGUGGGAUAAAAGCUUACCAAGCCGACGAUCUGUAGCUGGUCUGAGAGGACGACCAGCCACACUGGGACUGAGACACGGCCCAGACUCCUACGGGAGGCAGCAGUGGGGAAUUUUGGACAAUGGGCGAAAGCCUGAUCCAGCAAUGCCGCGUGCAGGAUGAAGGCCUCGGUUGUAAC
rnacentral:rRNA from 1 species